CCCGUCUUAGCUCAGCUGGUAGAUCGCAUGGCUUUUAACCAUGUGGUCGUGGAUUUGGUUCCCACAGAUAGCA
rnacentral:tRNA from 1 species